AGCUUCUUGCGGUAGUCUGCAGCUGACUCUUAAUCAGCGGGUCGUAGGUUCGAGCCCUACAUCACCCACCA
rnacentral:tRNA from 1 species